AAAGGCGCUGCGACAAUGAAUAGUGGUUGGAUCGGCUCAAUACUUGAUCAAAUUUCGCCCUUAAUGAAAAGGGGAGUCUAGUCAUGAUUGUCUCUAAGAAGAUGGAUAUGAUGCAAUUAGUUUAAUUGUACGUCAAUAGUGAUUAAUACGUGGUGGCAAGCUGCUUGUCGUAAGACUGGUGACAGUCAGCUGGUGUUGUACCCUGCAUUAUUGGAUGGAGAUGUAUACCAUAGGGAAUUCAUCGCUGGUCACAAGAAACCCACAAUGCAGUCAUGGAAGCGUAACGCUCGCCCUCCUGUUCCUCAGCAGGGUGCCUUCUAAGUCUGGGAUGUGAUGUAGAGAAUUGUGCGGAACUGCAGGUCGAUGACGUCGAUGACUUCCACUUGGUCUGAUGACGUCGGCAAGCCCCGGUACUGCCAAAAGAGUUGUUUUAUUUAACACUAAUUCACUACAGUGAUUAAAAACAAAAAAUUAUUAAAAGUGUUUGUUUUUUUCCAGCGACUAUUGAUGUCCCCCAAUCUCAUUAUCGAAACAGCGGCCUGUGUCAUUUUUCACAUGCUUAUAGGCAUUAGCCGCCUGAAUUAGAAACAUCUGGCGCUGUGCUGUUGUGAAUGGAAGUUUAAGGUGAUGCAACCAAACCCAAACAGAAGUGUCUUAUGUAGAGUGAUGGCUUCUUCUAUCAUGGAUGGAGGAGAAUGGGAUGCUGGACAAGAACCACAAGGGGCAGACAUGUGAGCUCUCGGUGAAGAUUUUUGUAUUAAUACAAUUUACUGCCGAAUUUCAUAAAAAAAUGUUGAAUUACCGAAAAUAGUUCAUCAACAGGAACACUUGAAGACGAACCAGAAUGUAGUAUUAGUAAUUUAUCCAUCUCUUUAACUUUAUCUGUCAUCAAAUAAUUGUUUGAGCCAAUAAUCUUUCAUAUUUUCCACAUCAUUGUAAGAAUGCUAAACGACUUUCUUGAAGUGUGGGAAAUAAUGAAUAGUGUGAUGAAUGGAAAAGAAAAGUGUUGGCUUGAGGAAGUGUAAUUUCGCUUUCGUUGCACAUUCUCUGAAUAGCAUCACUAUUUUUAAUUUUCGUCUUUACUGGAGAUGUUGACAAUACGUACACUUCAGCACUAUUCCCCCUCACCCUCCCUCCACCCUCUUUCUUAUUCGAGAUCCAGCCUGGGCACUCAGACAGCUUCUUAUUUUGGCUCGUGUGACCACUGGGAGCUUGAGAGCGAGGGAGAAUCACCUUUUUAUCAACUGUCCCUCUCCAACACCUUUUCACGUUCUAUUCACUUUCUAUUUUCUGGAUGACCAGCCUGCACUGUUUUCCCUCCCAGGACGUUCCUGCUCCUACACGCUCCUCUCUCUACCUCCUAUAUUUUUGUACAUACAAGUAAAUCAUACAUUUAGCAUUUUCUGUUGAAAUGUUGGAUGCAUGCUCUGUAUAAAAAUAGAGGGCAUAUCCGUGUCAGCGUGUCAGUCUCUCACCCGCUCUUCUGGUUCAGUUUGUUUUGUUACGGCACACAAAUCUCAGCUUUUUAUGACCGAGCACAAAUCUACUCCUGCUAAUAAACUUUUACACAGUGGGUAAACACACAAUUUCCAAUGCUCUUUGGGUGUCCUAACAAGUCAGAUUUUCCUAAUUAAAUUUCCAUUCCAGGAUUUCACACUUUUCUGCGUUUGGCUUUCCCUGCUGAAAAGAAAAGCAUUUUAUCCAGAUAUUCAUUUUUCAGUUGAAUAACAAUGUCAGUUUGCGUGUCUGGACUGCGCUAACGAAAUAGCAGUUGCAAUAAUACACACAAUAUCUCCUGCUAACACACAUGGGGCAUAAAUACACAGAUGUUUGCUUGCAAUCAUUCACACAGGGGAAAACUAAUUCUACUCCGAGGCCUGUCUCUAAAAUGCGUUACCAUCUGCACAGCUGCUGGUCUCACAUUAUACAGCGUGUUUCCUGUAAAGUAAAAGCUUUCAAUGUUGAAGAAUAGCUGGAUGACACUGCGAGCAGUACAAACAAUCAGCUUGUGUCACUGUCUGGGAAUGUAACCUGCCUUCUGUUGUCUGGAUACAGUGCUGGUGCAUUCUCACAAACAUGGGUGCUAUGAUUGGAAAGUCAUGUGACACAUUCUGAAUUAAAUAAGCAAGGCUACAACGGGCAGUUUCACACACUGAAGAUCAUUAGGAAGGGCUGUCCUGCUUCCUGAUGAGGGAUUCAGUGUUUUGUGUAACCAUCCGUUCCCAGGGACAGACUGUGCCCCCUGUGGCGACACUCUCCAUCAGUCCAAUGUUUCUAUGACUCAAAGUAAAGAUGGCGUGUUUGUCACUGGAAACGUGCACGUCAAUUUGGUGCAAACUUCCAUUUUUGUCCAAGAAAUACUGUUAAUAGUUAAUUUGGUUCUGUGGUAGUCGUUGCUACUUAUAUUAUGGGCCUAGACAGAAAUGGAAGUAAACUGCGACUUGAAAGGUUGGUGGAAGAAUAUAACCAGGAGGUGAUAUUUGUAGAGGUUUAAAAAUGACCUGAUCGGUCAAAAAUAGCUAUUGUAUAAUAUUAACCAACUGAAGCGUACUUUCUGCAUUAUUUUUCAUUUAUCAUUAAAUAUGAAGCGGCUGUUGAUGAGACUGCUUCAUACUGUACGUGAGACUGAAUUUUUUUAAUCACCCCUUCAGGGUCUGAAUUUUUUGCGGGAUGCGGUUCUCCGUUGCCAUGGAAUUUGACAUAAUAAUUUAAUAAAUAAUAUGAAAUACUCCCAGCACAACAGUUGUCUCUCUCCUCCCCCCAGCCUGUCCCUUUUCUCUUCCUUCGGUUACACCACCUGUUUCCCAUCAUCCUGCCCCAUUUUUUCCAUCCAGCUGCACACCUGGGACCCACGCUGGCACCCGCCAUUCAUCAUCCUCUCACCUUACUUCCUCGCUGUCGCACAUUGGUCUGAUUCAGUAUGUUUGCGCUAUAGAAAGGUCUUCUCCAGUUCUCAACUGGAUUUUAAUAUUUCUCCAAAAACUACACUGGUUGUCUGAAGCCUGCUAAUGCAUUCGUUUGGAUUGUUUCACAUCGGUUGUUAAGUUUUGAAAUUCAAUAUCCACGAGUCAUACAUCCAAACAGAAAGUUGUGUCAGAGUCUAUUGGCUUAACAGCCCAAAGUUUGUAGGUUUGAUAGUUUGUGAGAGUUGACAUUCCCCUCUGUGCUCUCCUGGUUUCCACUUGCUGUCAGAUCGGAUCGGACUUAUCAGAGAGAGAGCGAGGGAUUCAUGGCGUUCGGCAUUCGUAAGCUGUUGCUACUGGGCUCUAGGGAAGAAGACGCAGUCUUUAAACCGAAGACAGAAAAUAUACCUGCAGUACCUGACAUCAUUCAGACAUAUUGGCUCCUGUAGAUGAAUUGUUAGAUGUGAGCUUAUGCAAAUUUUCAUUUGGUGAUUGUGAAAGUUCAAGAUUUAUAAAUUGUAGUAUUCUGCCAAUCAUACUCGUACAAAAGAUUAAAUGUUUCAUCUACACAUUUUCAGAAUAAUCGUUUUGUCUGACCAAUUCUAACAUAUUAAUUAAGAGAAAUGGAAAAUAAUGUGACUGAACUAACGAUUUCAUUCAACGAUUCUUAUCAACGGUCUACCAAAAUGUAAAGCAAUGAACUUGAUUCAUUGAUCAUUUACCAUUUUGCGUGUGCACAUACUCACACUAAAUUGUGACCCGCUGUGCCGGCUGAAGAAACCCAGCAAACUGAUGACAUUGUGGAGUGCGGCAAAGACAGGAGGGACCGACUGCACGCUGGAAGGAGCAGGUGUGACUGAAAGCUUGAACCAAAAUUUGCAUGCACCAACACAACUUGGUGGUGUGGCGUGUAUUUGCAUUUCGUAUUCAAAUAUGUACACACUGUUGUGCAUGUGAUCUCCUUAAUGAGUGCAGACGGAGUGUUAUCCAUGGCCUGACGGCGUCUUAUAGGACCUCAAUGUGGUCUCUGUCUCAAACACAUUGUGCAUUAUGUGCAUAAAUUAUUUUAUAACACUUCUCAUUGUAUUGAUGGGGUGUUUUUGAGUUAGACAUCCUAGAUUAAUUUUAGUUAAAUUAAAACAGUUGAAUCCUGAGAGAAUAUUUUUUAAAUUUUCUGUCAGGGUUGGAAGGCAGGACUCAA